rnacentral:rRNA from 1 species
GUCUUUUUGAUAAUAAUUUAAGGUCUAAUCUGCUCAAUGAGGUUUUAAAUAGCCGCAGUAUUUUGACUGUGCAAAGGUAGCGUGAUAAUUAGUUUCUUAAUUAGGAACUUGUAUGAAUGAUUUGACAAGAAAAUUUCUGUCUCUUUUUAAAUUUUUUAUGAAUUUAAUUUUUAAGUUAAAAGGCUUAAAUUUAUAUAAAAGACGAGAAGACCCCAUAGAGUUUUAUUUUUUGGUUAUUUUAGUAUAAUAUUUUUAUAUAAAAAAAAAUUAGUUGGGGUGACUAAAAGGUUUAAUAAACUCUUUUAAUUUAAAUCAUUGAUUUAUGAAUUUAAAAUCUAAUUUUAUUAAAUUUAAACAAAAUUACCUUGGGGAUAACAGCGUAAUUUCUUUUUAGAGUUCUUAUCAAAUAAGAAGAUUGCGACCUCGAUGUUGGAUUAAAAUUAAUUUUAGGUGUAGAAGCUUAAAUUUUAAGUCUGUUCGACUUUUAAAAUUUUACA